AUCCGAUAAGGAAGUGCAAGUUUUACUUACUGGGCUAGUGUAGCUCAUAUUCUUUUUGUUUUCUUUUUGUUUGAACAGAGGAAUAAGGUUAGGAUUGGCAAAAAAGAAUCCAGGCUUGAAGAUCUGCAUAGCAAGCUUGAAAAUUUGGUAGCAGAAGUUUAGUUAUUUUAUAAUCACAGAUUUGUAGUUAUUUAUAAAUAUUGAGAUUCGGAUUGGU
rnacentral:lncRNA from 1 species